AUUUUUCACUGAUUAAUACCUGAAACGAAAGCGAAACUGCUCUCUCUACUGUUUGCUUCAUCACGGUUCUUGCGUAGGUAGAAAUGUCUGCUGAGGAUUUCAGCAUUGUUACAGACGGUGAGUCUUUGAGAUGUCAGGACAGUGUACUGGAGAUCAACAAAUACAAGGCACAAUAUGAAGCAAUACUGAAGGAACAACAAAUACUGAGAGAUGGCAUAGAUACCAACAAAUACUAUGCCAAGGAAUUUAAACAACGAGCUAAUGAAAAGAAAGCGUUAUGUGAAGAAGAAAACAAGAAACGUACUAAGACAACUCAGAAAGAGAAGGAGAAAUGCAGAGCUGUACAGGAGGAGAACACCAAGCUGCAGAAAGAGAUCCUGAAAAUAAAGGAGGAGAUGCAAAGCCUGGACUGUAAAAACAGCAGUCUGAAAAAGCAAACUGAGAUCUCUACAGCGGUGCCUGAGAGGAAGGUUGUGUUUCGGGGAAAUACAAAAGAGGGAGCCCAUGCUGUGGGUUUUGAUGUGAAUCCCCGAAUAGUUUAUCCGAUGGAGGGUGGAACAGCACUGAUCACCUUCGAGGAAAAGGAUGUGGCUCAGAAAAUAUUGAACCUAAAGGAUCAUUCGGUGCAACUUGGAGACUGUACCAUCAAUGUGCAGGCAAAACGCAUUCAAUUCCUGGUACCCAGCAAUGUUGAGAUGGAAACACAGGUGUGCCCACGCAGAAUCCUAGUCUCCAACCUGCCAAAGGAAGAACCCGAGGAGAGAGUACUAGACAAACUGGACAUCCAUUUCUCUAGGAAGAGGAAUGGAGGUGGCGAGGUGGAGGACACUGACAUGCUACAUGACUCUGGCACUGUGGUCAUUACCUUUGUAGAUGAUAAUAUUGCCAAAGGUCUCUCCGACAAACAAGAUCAUGAUGUAGACUUUGGUAAGAAGAAGCACAAGGUGAAGGUCACUCCAUUCCUCAAUGGUGAAAUUUCACAGAUGAAGAUCUGUGACUCAGAGUGCAUGCGCACAGUGCUGCUGACGGGCAUCCCUGACAUCAUGGACAAAGAUAACUUGCAGGACAACCUGGAGAUCCACUUCCAGAAGACGGCCAAUGGUGGCGGAGAGGUGGAAGGCAUCGUCUACAACUCUCUAGGCCACACCACCCUGGCUUUGUUUGAUGAGGACAGCCAGAGCGAAAGCUAAAAACCUCUACAGCCCAGAGAUCCAAUGCUGCCUUUAGGCUAGCGCACACUAGACGAUUUUAAGGCCGAUUUUAAGCCCGAUUUGCAUCCCCGGACAAUCUGUAUCAAUUAUUGUAUCAAUAAUUGAUACAGAACGCGCGCCGGGAGAGCCAGCUGACAACGUUUUUCUUCUCUAGUCACGUUUGAGCUCGCAAGUGUUCGUGAGAUCACGUGUCACUGGGAAAUCGUUCCUACAAUUAUCAAGUUUGUGGUCUCGCGAUCUGGUCGAAUCAUCUAGUGUGCAUUCAGAGGAUUAUAAGGCUAAAAAUCGGUUGAACUGUCUUCAUGUCUGUGGUCUCCCACGGUUUUAAAAUCGUCUAGUGUGUCCCAGGCCUUAGACGACAAAAUAGAUCCUUAAUUCAUAAUGGACUUUAUUGAACUCCUAAUUUGGAUCCAUCUUGCAAAAAGUUAUAUAGUAUGUAUCUCUUCACCUCUUAUUUACUGUAAUCUUUACUUCUCUUUACCUAUUAUAGUAAUAUACUUAAUUAAUGGAUACAAAUUUUUAGUUUUUACAAUUCUUAGUUGUAUUUCUUGUCUUUUUAAGAUGAAAGAUGCAAUCAAAUUGGGGCAUGGUUUAUGAGUUAAUCGGAAUCACAGGAAAGAUUUAUCAAAAUGUUAUCUGUACCCAAAAACAAUAAAAUCUUAAAAAGUCUUUAAUAAAUAUAUUACAAUAAUA